GACGAACGCUGGCGGCGUGCCUAAUACAUGCAAGUCGAGCGGACUUUAUAAGCUAGCUUUUUAAGCUAGCGGCGUACGGGUGAGUAACCCCUGGGCAACAUGCCUGUAAGACUGGAUUAACUUCGGGAAACCGGCGCUAGUACCAGGUAAUUCUUUUCUCCUCAUGUUGAAACACUGAACGACGGCUUAUGCUGUCACUUCCAGACGGCCCCGCGGCGCAUUACCUAGUUGGCGCGGUAACGGCCCAGCAAGGCGACGUUGCGUAGCCGACCUGACACGGGGAUAGGCCACCCUGGGAGUGAGAAACGCCCCAGACCCCUACGGGAGGCAGCAGUAGGGAAUCUUCCGCAAUGGACGAAAGUCUGACAGAGGCACGCCGCGUGCGUGAUGAAGGUUUUCGGAUCGUAAAACUCUGUUGUUAGGGAAGAACAAGUACGAGAGUAACUGCUCGUACCUUGACGGUACCUAGCCAGAAAGCCACGGCUAACUACGUG
rnacentral:rRNA from 1 species